rnacentral:rRNA from 1 species
UACGGGGGGGGCAAGCGUUGUUCGGAAUUACUGGGCGUAAAGGGCUCGUAGGCGGCCAACUAAGUCAGACGUGAAAUCCCCAGGCUCAACCUGGGAACUGCGUCUGAUACUGGAUGGCUUGGAUUGGGAGAGGGAUGCGGAAUUCCAGGUGUAGCGGUGAAAUGCGUAGAUAUCUGGAGGAACACCGGUGGCGAAGGCGGGUCUCUGGGCCGAUACUGACGCUGAGGAGCGAAAGCGUGGGGAGCGAACAGG